rnacentral:rRNA from 1 species
AGAGUUUGAUCCUGGCUCAGGAUGAACGCUAGCGAUAGGCUUAACACAUGCAAGUCGAGGGGCAGCAUGGUCUUAGCUUGCUAAGACUGAUGGCGACCGGCGCACGGGUGCGUAACGCGUAUGCAACUUGCCUCACAGAGGGGGAUAACCCGUCGAAAGACGGACUAAUACCGCGUACACUCUAUGUUGGGCAUCCAAUGUAGAGGAAAUGAAAUUCGCUGUGAGAUAGGCAUGCGUCCCAUUAGCUAGUUGGUGAGGUAACGGCUCACCAAGGCGACGAUGGGUAGGGGAACUGAGAGGUUGAACCCCCACACUGGUACUGAGACACGGACCAGACUCCUACGGGAGGCAGCAGUGAGGAAUAUUGGUCAAUGGGCGAGAGCCUGAACCAGCCAAGUAGCGUGCAGGAUGACGGCCCUAUGGGUUGUAAACUGCUUUUGUAUGGGGAUAAAGUUAGGGACGUGUCCCUAUUUGCAGGUACCAUACGAAUAAGGACCGGCUAAUUCCGUGCCAGCAGCCGCGGUAAUACGGAAGGUCCAGGCGUUAUCCGGAUUUAUUGGGUUUAAAGGGAGCGUAGGCGGAUUGUUAAGUCAGCGGUUAAAGGGUGUGGCUCAACCAUGCAUUGCCGUUGAAACUGGCGAUCUUGAGUGCAGACAGGGAUGCCGGAAUUCGUGGUGUAGCGGUGAAAUGCUUAGAUAUCACGAAGAACUCCGAUCGCGAAGGCAGGUGUCCGGGCUGCAACUGACGCUGAGGCUCGAAAGUGUGGGUAUCAAACAGGAUUAGAUACCCUGGUAGUCCACACAGUAAACGAUGUAUACUCGCGGUUUGCGAUAGAUUGUAAGCCGCCAAGCGAAAGCAUUAAGUAUACCACCUGGGGAGUACGCCGGCAACGGUGAAACUCAAAGGAAUUGACGGGGGCCCGCACAAGCGGAGGAACAUGUGGUUUAAUUCGAUGAUACGCGAGGAACCUUACCCGGGCUUGAAUUGCAGAGGAAGGAUUUAGAGAUAAUGACGCCCUUCGGGGUCUCUGUGAAGGUGCUGCAUGGUUGUCGUCAGCUCGUGCCGUGAGGUGUCGGCUUAAGUGCCAUAACGAGCGCAACCCCUCUCUUCAGUUGCCAUCAGGUUAAGCUGGGCACUCUGGAGACACUGCCACCGUAAGGUGUGAGGAAGGUGGGGAUGACGUCAAAUCAGCACGGCCCUUACGUCCGGGG